GUUAACCUAUCGCGGUCGCAGUAACCAUGAUUGCGUCCUAGCCUAUGCAAUCGUGGUACCGCGGAAAAGUUUAGCCCAAGGGUAGAAAUAUAAUGGUACGUAGCUGAUCCUCAAUUUUUAUAAAAAAAGACUCAAGCCCUAAUCUGUAGUAUUCCAUCUUCCCCAAUAGUUAGGUUUUGUCUUGAGUUCAUAGCCUCUAUAGUUGGAGAAGAAAAUAUUGUAUAAGUUUUGG
rnacentral:lncRNA from 1 species